GUUCAGACCCGUAGCAGAUAGCUCAGUAACACGUGGCCAAACUGCCCUACAGAUCGUGAUAACCUCGGGAAACUGAGGCUAAUAACGAAUACAGCUCCCAGAUUUGAAUAUCGGGAGCUGGAAACGUUCCGGCGCUGUAGGAUGUGGCUGCGGCCGAUUAGGUAGACGGUGGGGUAACGGCCCACCGUGCCGAUAAUCGGUACGGGUUGUGAGAGCCAGAGCCCGGAGACGGAAUCUGAGACAAGAUUCCGGGCCCUACGGGGCGCAGCAGGCGCGAAACCUUUACACUGCACGACAGUGCGAUAAGGGGACUCCGAGUGCGAGGGCAUAUAGUCCUCGCUUUUCUCUACCGUAAGGUGGUACACGAAUAAGUGCUGGGCAAGACCGGUGCCAGCCGCCGCGGUAAUACCGGCAGCACGAGUGAUGGUCGCUCUUAUUGGGCCUAAAGCGUCCGUAGCUGGCCAAACAAGUCUGUUGGGAAAUCGACGCGCUCAACGCGUGGGCGUCCGGUGGAAACUGUUCGGCUUGGGGCCGGAAGAUCUGAGGGGUACGUCCGGGGUAGGAGUGAAAUCCUGUAAUCCUGGACGGACCACCGAUG
rnacentral:rRNA from 1 species